rnacentral:rRNA from 1 species
UGGAUAACUGUGGUAAUUCUAGAGCCAAUACGUGCACAAAGACCCGGGCAACCGGGUUGCACUUAUCGGAGCAAAAUCAACAUUUGAUUGCUAACUCUGGAUAACCGAGCUUAUCGCAUGGCUUCGGCCGGCGAAGUAACAUUCGAGUAUCUGCCCUAUCAUCUAUCGUUGGCUGUGUAUUGGACAGCCAAGGAGGUAACGGGUAACGGAGAAUCAGGGUUCGACUCCGGAGAGGGAGCCUUAGAAACGGCUACCAUUGCUAAGGCAAGCAGCAGGCGCGCAACUUAUCCACUGUCCACUCGGACGAGAUAGUGACGAGAAAUAACAAGCUCGUUCUCUUUGAGGUCGAGCAUUGGAAUGGACCGAAUGUAAACGAUUCGGUGAGUACCUAUGAGAGGGCAAGUCUGGUGCCAGCAGCCGCGGUAAUUCCAGCUCUCAUAAUGUAUAGAAUUAUUGUUGCGGUUAAAAAGUUCGUAGUUGGAUUUCAUGUCGCUUGCGGGUUAGGCUUAACGGCCUGUACUCGCGGCGAUGUUUGUCCGAGGGUUGGCUUGCCAGCCCCCGGACGGAUUACUUUGAACGGCUUAAGUGCUCAAGGCGAGUCUUCGGACUGAAUACCGGUGCAUGGAAUAAUGGAACAAGGUUUCGACCGAGUUUUGUUGGUUUUGUCGGUUGAGACAAUGGUUAACAGGAACAGCUGGGGGCACUCGUAUCCAGGCGCGAGAGGUGAAAUUCGUGGACCGUCUGGAGACGCCCGAAAGCGAAGGCAUUUGCCAAGAGUGUUUUCAUUAAUCAAGAACGAAAGUCAGAGGUUCGAAGGCGAUUAGAUACCGCCCUAGUUCUGACCGUAAACAUGCCACUAUCAAUCCCGCCAGCACUUUUAGUUGUGGCGGGCCGGAUCGACGGAAACCAAA